rnacentral:rRNA from 1 species
AUCUGUUCAACAUCUAGUAUCCAUUGUUUACAGCUAGGACUACUGGGGUAUCUAAUCCCAUUUGCUACCCUAGCUUUCGUCUCUGAGUGUUAGUAAUAGCCCAGUAAAGUGCCUUCGCCAUCGGUGUUCUUUCCAAUCUCUACGCAUUUCACCGCUCCACUGGAAAUUCCCUUUACCCCUACUAUACUCUAGUCUAAUAGUUUCGACUGCGAUUUCGAGGUUGAGCCUCAAGAUUUAACAGUUGACUUAUUAAACCACCUACAGACGCUUUACGCCCAGUGAUUCCGGAUAACACUUGCAUCCUCCGUCUUACCGCGGCUGCUGGCACGGAGUUAGCCGAUGCUUAUUCUUCAGGUACACGUCAUUUUGUUCCUCCCUGAAAAAAGAGGUUUACAACCCAUAGGCCGUCAUCCCUCACGCGGUAUUGCUCCGUCAGGCUUUCGCCCAUUGCGGAAAAUUCCCUACUGCUGCCUCCCGUAGGAGUCUGGACCGUGUCUCAGUUCCAGUGUGUCUGAUCGUCCUCUCAAACCAGAUACUGAUCGUCGCCUUGGUAAGCCUUUACCCCACCAACAAGCUAAUCAGCCGCAAGCUUCUCUCUAGGCGGAUAAAUCCGUUUCACUCGAAAGCAUAUGGGGUAUUAGCAACCGUUUCCAGUUGUUGUCCCCCUCCUAAAGGCAAAUUCUUACGUGUUACUCACCCGUCCGCCACUUGAGUUAAAAACUCUCGUACGACUUGCAUGUAUAAAGCAUACCGCCAGCGUUCAUCCUGAGCCAGGAUCAAACUCU